AGUGAACGCUGGCGGCGUGCUUAACACAUGCAAGUCGAACGAGAACGGAUUAUAGCUUGCUAUAAUUGUCAGCUAAGUGGCGCACGGGUGAGUAAUGUAUAGGUAAUAUGCCUUUUACUAAGGAAUAACAAAUGGAAACGUUUGCUAAUACCUUAUACUCCUUAUUGACCUAAGUUAAUAAGGGAAAGAUUUAUUGGUAAGAGAUUAGCCUGUAUUGUAUCAGUUAGUUGGUGGGGUAAUGGCUUACCAAGACUAUGACACAUAACUGGUUUGAGAGGAUGAUCAGUCACACUGGCACUGAGACACGGUCCAGACUCCUACGGGAGGCAGCAGUGGGGAAUAUUGCACAAUGGACGAAAGUCUGAUGCAGCAACGCCGCGUGGAGGAUGACACAUUUCGGUGCGUAAACUCCUUUUAUAUGAGAAGAUAAUGACGGUAUUAUAUGAAUAAGCACCGGCUAACUCCGUGCCAGCCGCCGCCGUAA
rnacentral:rRNA from 1 species